GGGGUGCCGGAGCGGUCGAACGGGGCGGUCUUGAAAACCGACGUUCCAGACCCGCGGCGUACCUUUCCUGUCCUCCA
rnacentral:tRNA from 1 species